rnacentral:rRNA from 1 species
UACGGGGGGGAGCAAGCGUUGUUCGGAUUUACUGGGCGUAAAGGGCGCGUAGGCGGCCUCUGCAAGUCGACUGUGAAAUCUCCGGGCUUAACCCGGAAAGGUCAGCCGAUACUGCAGGGCUAGAGUGCAGAAGGGGCAACUGGAAUUCUCGGUGUAGCGGUGAAAUGCGUAGAUAUCGGGAGGAACACCGGUGGCGAAGGCGGUUCUCUGGGCCUGACCUGGACGCUGAGGAGCGAAAGCGUGGGGAGCGAACAGG